GAUGAACGCUGGCGGCGUGCUUAACACAUGCAAGUCGAGCGAAGCACUUGAACCUGAUUCUUCGGAUGAAAGUUCAUUUGACUGAGCGGCGGACGGGUGAGUAACGCGUGGGUAUCCUGCCUCAUACAGGGGGAUAACAGUUAGAAAUGACUGCUAAUACCGCAUAAGACCACGGUGCCGCAUGGCACAGUAGGUAAAAACUCCGGUGGUAUGAGAUCGGACCCCGCGUCUGAUUAGGUAGUUGGUGGGGUAACGCCUACAAGCCGACGAUCAGUAGCCGACCUGAGAGGGUGACCGGGCACAUUGGGACUGAGACACGGCCCAGACUCCUACGGGAGCAGCAGUGGGGAAUAUUGCACAAUGGAGGAAACUCUGAUGCAAGCGACGCCGUGUGAAAGGAUGAAGUAUUUCGGGUAUGGUAAAACUUCUAUCAGCAGGG
rnacentral:rRNA from 1 species